AGGGUUCGAUUCUGGCUCAGGACGAACGCUGGCGGCGUGCUUAACACAUGCAAGUCGAACGAGAAUCUACUGAAGGAGGAUUCGUCCAACGGAAGUAGAGGAAAGUGGCGGACGGGUGAGUAACGCGUGAGGAACCUGCCUUGAAGAGGGGGAUAACAGCUGGAAACGGCUGCUAAUACCGCAUAAGCGCACAGAGCUGCAUGGCUCGGUGUGAAAAACUCCGGUGGUAUGGGAUGGGCCCGCGUCUGAUUAGGCAGUUGGCGGGGUAACGGCCCACCAAACCGACGAUCAGUAGCCGGCCUGAGAGGGCGACCGGCCACAUUGGGACUGAGACACGGCCCAA
rnacentral:rRNA from 1 species